UGACUAGAUUUACACUCAUCUA
rnacentral:miRNA from 1 species